CCUACGGGUGGCAGCAGUGAGGAAUAUUGGUCAAUGGACGAGAGUCUGAACCAGCCAAGUAGCGUGAAGGAUGACUGCCCUAUGGGUUGUAAACUUCUUUUAUAUGGGAAUAAAAUGUUCCACGUGUGGGAUUUUGUAUGUACCAUAUGAAUAAGGAUCGGCUAACUCCGUGCCAGCAGCCGCGGUAAUACGGAGGUUCCGAGCGUUAUCCGGAUUUAUUGGGUUUAAAGGGAGCGUAGGUGGAUUGUUAAGUCAGUUGUGAAAGUUUGCGGCUCAACCGUAAAAUUGCAGUUGAAACUGGCAGUCUUGAGUACAGUAGAGGUGGGCGGAAUUCGUGGUGUAGCGGUGAAAUGCUUAGAUAUCACGAAGAACUCCGAUUGCGAAGGCAGUUCACUGGACUGCAACUGACACUGAGGCUCGAAAGUGUGGGUAUCAAACAGGAUUAGAUACCCUAGUAGUC
rnacentral:rRNA from 1 species